rnacentral:snRNA from 1 species
GAAUGAUCUGAUUGCGCCAUGUUCCCCUAUUCAUUGAUUUCCAGGGUUGAUUCAGUUGAUCUGGCUGGCUAGGUGGGUGUCCCCUUCCUCCUUCACUGUUCCAUGUCUAUCCCUCACAGAGCUGCCAGCCCCACUACUGAGAACAACUUUUUUUGUUUGUUUGUUUGUUGUUUUUUUGUUUUGUUUUGUUUUUGUUUUUUCGAGACAGGGGUUCUCUGUUUAGCCCUGGCUGUCCUGGAGCUCACUUUGUAGACCAGGCUGGCCUCGAACUCAGAAAUCCGCCUGCCUCUGCCUCCCGAGUGCUGGGAUUAAAGGCGUGCGCCACUAUGCCCGGCUCCGAGGACAACUUUUACCCAAUAGAGGAGAGCCUGUUUUUCUUUGGUCAAAGGCAUCCAGGAGUUUCACUUGAAUUUCCCUACUAAAACCUCCAAACAAGCUCUCAAAGGUGUAAACAUGCAAUGAAAAGAAGCAAAUUAUUUUGCCAACUGUCUAUGUUUUAGGGCUUACUUUAAGGAACCCACCAAU